CAGUCGUACCUGCGGGUAAUCAGCCUUUUGGGCAUGAUUCUGUGGAGCGUGAGGAGUUAAACGCCUUCAUGCCUGCAUAUUCGUGUACUUUGGGUGUACUUGCCUGUGUGGUUAGUUAACAUCAAUUUUGGUUAUCAUAAAAUGGUUGGAGGAAUGUAGCUUCGAUUUCGAUUGAAGUGUUAUAGCCUUCGGCAGAUGUGAUGAUCGGGAUUGAGGAUUACAACGGAUACCCUUCGGGGCUACCUGUCUGGUCUCUGAUCGUUGCUCUGGUGCCGAAAGCGUGCUUACGGUUAUCAAAGUCGAUGGUCAACAGGUUAGAACGGGUUAAA
rnacentral:rRNA from 1 species